GAGUUUUAAUAAAUUAAUUAUUUUCAAAAAUCAGUCUGUGAAAGAAACAGUAAAAAUUAUACGUCUUUGCUGUUCUACGAUUCAAAAAAUGGUUUUAUCAUUAGAAUUUUAAAUAUUUCGCGCCAGUAUAGAAAUACAGUGUACCCUUGCGUCAAGGUCGGUAACGCUCAGGUAGUCUCGUUCCCAGUUGCAUUUACGUGAUUAUUUAUACACAAUAAUGUCUCGUUUUAUAUAAUUAUCACGAUAAUUCGUUACAGUGGAUGCAUUUAUAUUGUAUUACAGUAUUUUUUAAACCGGCAUAAGCAACUACCAACGACUAUUUAGAAAAAAGAAGUAGUACAAAGUACAUAUUAAAUAUAAUGCGAACUUCGUCGAGACUAACAAAUUUCGUCGAUGACGUACUUCCUUCUCGCUCCACUCGCUCAAGCUCAGUGGUGGUCUGCUCAUCUGCUGUCUGCUGUUGCUUGUUGCAUUACGUUUUGUUCCUGUUAGGUGUGAUAUGGUACACUUAAGAAUACACUUUUUUCUGGCUUUGCCUAUCGAAUCUUCUUUUAUCAGUUCAACCUUCAGCAAUGGCAGAAGCAGAACAGUAGAAUUAAUAAGGAGCUUAUCUUUCCAUCAGUCUGAUUGUUGGCUUAAUAUGGGAAAAGAAGCAUUAAACUUGUAAAUUUUCAACGUAGCAGGCACCCAUUUUGCAGAUUAAUGAAAGAUUUUUCAACCAAUGAAAAGGAAUUGCAGUUAAUUUUGAACUUGUGAGGAAGAGACAAUUGGAUAUUAAUAUAGAAACCACUGAAACACAGAUUGUCUGCAGUGGUAUCCCUCUUGGAUUUGGCUUGCUUAUCACACUUGUAACUUUCUGCAAUAAAUUAAUUAAGAUUGUGGAACAAAUAAGAGAGAAUUAAAGUUCUGAAACAACCAAUGUCUACAUGGAUAUCUUCUUUCGUGGACUGUAUUCUUGAUUUGCUGUUUUGAUCUUCAUCUAGCAACGUUAUGCAGUUAAGCUUCAACCAAUGAGUCAAAGCAACUGAAAAUUUAUUUGAAUUCUACUGAAACAACAAAUUUUCUGCUGUGGUAGUCUACCUGGAUUUGGUUUGCUUUUCACACCUGCAAACUUUGGAAAAUUACACUACAGUUAAUUAAGGUGAGAAUACUAUAUAGAAUUAACUUUAAUUGCUCUUAAUAAUCUGUUACCACCGUAUCUGUUUCAGAUCGACGUUGGAGAAGACAAAGAUGACCCCGUGGUUAAAAUAGUUGU